AAGACGCAGCAAACCAGAAUCUUCUGCGGC
rnacentral:piRNA from 1 species